rnacentral:misc_RNA from 1 species
AUUCCUUAAUAAUUUCAUCACCUUUUGCGUUCCUUUCCGUUUAAUGACAUCAAUUAUCAUGGGGUUUUUGUAAAUCGGAAGGAUAAUGGUUAGCUUUAUUCAAAUAUAAAUUAAAUGACGAUUUAAAUAACAAACGUCAAAUAAUAAAGCUAGGUAAUUAAAAUAAAACUUUAACUGGUGAAAAAUGUGACUAUGUAUUUAUGAAGAACUUUGUAACUAAAGAGAAUAUCGACAUAUCGCUUACAGCAUUAUUUAUGUAUUUAGACAGUAUAAAAUAUUACAAUCAAUAAAUUAUAUUAAAGAUUAUUAUUGGUAUUAUUCUUAUAUUGGUAUUAUUAUUAUUGGUAUUAUUAUUAUUGGUAUUAUUCUAAAUUGCAGUUCAGUUUUGAAAUAUCAUUGUUGCUUAUUAAAUUGAUAUAAGUAUUUUAAUAAUAAUAAUGAACGUCGUACUAUUCAAGUCAUCGCAAUUACGUUAAACAUAACAAGUAAGAUACAUCCGUUUUACAAAUAAUGACGUAGCAGCUUACUAAAAUACAAGUUAAUUCAUUUGAAGAUAAUCUGUAGCGGUUUAUGAAGAUUAUACUUGCUAAAGUUAUUAGAUUUUGAGCCUUAAAGGUAUUAUGUUAAUAUCACGAAAAUAUCAUAUCGUAUUUUCAUAAUAACGUUUAUUAAGCGCUUACUCGUUUAGGAAUGUUCAAUGUAUUUUGUGAACAAAUUUGUUUAUAAAUAGCAGACAUUGUAACUAAGGGACCUUAAAUUUUUAUUAGUAUGCAAAUUUGCUCUUUCAGCAUUGAAACUAAUAUUUCCCGUUUUGCACAGUCUUGACCAAAAAAUUCAAUGGAAGUUAAUUUUCUCUGCUUGUACUCUUCGUGUCGGUUUUUUUAUAGUCGUAACGUAAUUCGUCAAAAAAGGAAUAUUGUCAACCAAUGUUUAGUAAUAGCUCCUCAAAAUUAUUUUAGAAUAAAUAAGAAUGCAUUUACAACUUUAAAAGCAAGGAAUAGGGUGUAAACAGGUUUGUUUGGUCUUCGUACAUACCACGGGGGCCUAAUAUUUUAAUAAAACAAAAGCAGCCGUCAUACUUAUUGUUCAUUGAUUCAAUUUCAUAAUUAGGUUUCCAUUACGUUUCUUAUUGUAAUUUCUCCAAUAUUUUAUUCAGUUGUCUACAUGAUUAACAUGCUGUCCCAAACAUACCACACAAUAAUCUUUUAGAACUAAUUUAAAAGUGUUAUUCAAGCUAUUCAUUUACUCACUAUGCCAAAAGCGAAGAGUAUUAACAAAACUAACAAGUCGUCCGCUGCUUCUAACGAAGCGCACGGCAACAUAGUUAGAAGGGUCGCUGCUUCCGUGGAAGCGCCCCACAACACACAGGGGCCGGUCGCUGCUUCCUCCGUGGAAGCGCCUAGCCCUAGCACAUCGACCGCCACCGCCCCUAAUUCAUGGUUGGCUGGUGAGCAGGUCUGGCAGGUGGUCCAGCGGAAAGAAACACCCUCCGACAUGCGGAAAAAAAAUAAACGCACAGAGGAGAGGAAGAAACGCUGGGACCAACAAAACGCCGGCAGAAAGCAACCCCCCGCCGCAAGGCAGGGUGACGCCAAAAAGCCGCUAUCGACACCUAUUGCUGCAGUAGGUGCAAGGCAACCGAAUCGUCAGGGUGACAACCAGGGCGAGAGGGGGCCAAACACCGAACAAGCAGCACUAACUAGCGGACCCGCGGAGGUGAAAACCAAUGCGCACCGCAAACCCAGACGGAGACGAGGUGGCAGGGGCCAGGGAAAUGCGUUGCCCGCAACUCAGCAGGGCGACGUUAAAGUACCUAAACGCCCCCGCCCCAAUGAGACACAAUCACCUCAAGUACAGGUGAAGAAGCAAAAAGCGUCCACCAGCGUCGUUUCGGCGAGGGGGGCCGCCACCUACGCCGACAAGGUGGUCCUGAACGACCUCUUUGUGGCGGUGAUGGCGGAACCCUUCACCGACCUAUCACCAACGCAUGUGGAGGCUAUUACGAGCACUCUGGAGUCCUGCAUCAUAGGUUUAGCGGAUGCUCCGAGUGGAUCUAACAACAUCCCGUAUGUGCCCGCCUUCCAUGGAAAACCUUUCCACAGUGAGGGCGUGCUUAAAAUGCACUGCGAGGACUCCAAGGCUGUGGAGUGGCUAAAAGAAACUGUGGCCACUCUAGAGUCACCAAUCCCGGGGACAAUCCUGGUUGUCAGGCGCCAGAAGCGCCAGGAGGGGAACACACCUGGCACUUUUCUGGUGCUUGGCAUACCAGCGGACGAGAUCCCCAACAUAAUGGCGAGAGGGCGAAGGCUCUGCUACAAGCUGGGCAACGCCUACAUCCGCUUCUUCGGCAACAAGGGAAGGUUGCAGGAAAUGCCACCCGACCAAGUUGAGACGGCGCCUACAUCCGGGACCUCCAGCGACCCCUCCGCUGCAAAGCAGAAGGUGCGCGCUGGGAAGGACCUGGUGAUGGCAGCGUCUGUGUCCACGGCUAACCAGCCAAUCUUCGCCGAAAGGCAAAGUGCGGUUGGAGAACCAAUGGUCACCCAACACUCCUCCGCCGAAAGGCAGAGGCAGGAUGGGAUGUCAGUUUGCUCGCUGACUACCACCGACGGAGACGCCAGUUAUGGCGAUCUGGAGGAGGCUGUCGCGCAUCUGGCUGACCAGGACAUUCCGUUGGGGACGGAUGAGGAAGUGAGCAGCCCCCUUCGCUCCUCCUCGCCUCACUAACUUAAUACAAGCCAACCUCCAGCAUAAACAAGCUGCAGCGGCCACCCUGCGUAGAGCACUGGAGGUAAACAACAGGACCAUCGCCCUUAUCCAGGAGCCGUGGAUAAGGAAGGACAGAAUCUGCGGUCUGAGCAACAUCGGAGAGACCUGACCACAGUCAGGCUCCGGAGCAGCUGUCCUAGCAUCCCGGAAGUAAUACUAGCGUCCGCCUACCUACCGGGCGACGCGGACGUACCGACGGUCGAGCUAGUGAACCUAAUCAGACACUGCGAAGACAAGAAGCUUGAGCUGAUCAUCUCGGCGGACGCGAACGCUCAUCAUACUAUCUGGGGUGGCGGCGCUUCCAAUAAAAGAGAGGAUUCCAUCCAGACGACAUCGCCAACCCGGAACGUUACGGGACCAGCCUAAAUAUUUAUAAAUGGUCAACGCACGAGCUAGUACAAGUCAUAGAUUUGGGUAAGGAAGGAUGUGCGCCCCUGGAGAUCAGAUUUCUUCAUGAUCCCAAAUCCGCUGUGGGAUUUGUCGGGUGUGCGGUCGAGGCCAACGUCUACAGGUUCUUCAAAUCUGAUGACG